GACGUAGGAUGCAAGCGUUGUCCGGAAUUAUUGGGCGUAAAGAGUUCGUAGGCGGUUACUUAAGUCUGGUGUUAAAGACGGGAGCUCAACUCCCGCAUGGCAUUGGAAACUGGGUAGCUAGAGUGUGGCAGAGGUAUCGGGAAUUCCAGGUGUAGCGGUGAAAUGCGUAGAUAUCUGGAGGAACACCGGUGGCGAAAGCGCGAUACUGGGCCAUAACUGACGCUGAGGAACGAAAGCCAGGGGAGCAAAAGGG
rnacentral:rRNA from 1 species